rnacentral:rRNA from 1 species
GAUGAACGCUGGCGGCGUGCUUAACACAUGCAAGUCGAACGGAAAGGCCAGUGCUUGCACUGGUACUCGAGUGGCGAACGGGUGAGUAACACGUGGGUGAUCUGCCCUGCACUUCGGGAUAAGCCUGGGAAACUGGGUCUAAUACCGGAUAGGACAAUGGUUUGGAUGCCGUUGUGGAAAGUUUUUUCGGUGUGGGAUGAGCUCGCGGCCUAUCAGCUUGUUGGUGGGGUAAUGGCGUACCAAGGCGUCGACGGGUAUCCGGCCUGAGAGGGGGUACGGCCACAUUGGGACUCAGAUACGGCCCCGACUCCUACGGGAGGCAGCAGUGGGGAAUAUUGCACAAUGGGCGCAAGCCUGAUGCAGCGACGCCGCGUGGGGGAUGACGGCCUUCGGGUUGUAAACUCCUUUCGCUAGGGACGAAGCGUAUUUGUGACGGUACCUGGAGAAGAAGCACCGGCUAACUACGUG